rnacentral:rRNA from 1 species
AUGAUUUUUUUCAUAUUCCAUGUUUAUUGCUGUUUAUAUAUUUUUUUGGUAGCCCGAGUGUUCCCUAGGAAAUUAUGCAAGCCAACAUACAUUACCAGACUUUCUUUCAAGCGUUGGAACAAAACUGUGAAGAAGUUUAGUAAUAUUCAGUUGGGCCAUGUGAGAAAGUACAAAUUGGAACCUCUCCUUCAUAUGCCAGUGAAACUUAAAAUACUAAUGAAUUUGCUUGAAUGGAUAGAUCGGCAUAUGUUUGGAAGUAAAGAGCCAUGUUUAAAGCAUAAGAAUAAAACUAUCAAGAUUACUAAAGAUAUGGUCAACAAAAUCUUUGAUUUUCCUGGUGGCACCGAGCCUUUUGUAUUCAGUAGCGAUGAUCCCCAAGUGAAGGCAGAGGUUACACAGUUAAGGAACAAAUAUGUGGAUUAUCGGAACAAAAUGCCAAUCAACAAAAUAGAGGAGGUGAUGCUUAGUGACGAGACAAAAGAUGGAUUUAUCAGGAGCUUUGCAUUUUAUUUCCUAUCAUCUAUUCUAUGCCCUGCCUCAUACUGUUUUGGUAACAUGAAGUUCUUAUACUCUCUAAGAGAUGUUUCUGCUAUACCUUCACUUGACUUUGGGCAAUUGGCACUGAUUUCUUGCGUGAGGAGUCAGAGCAUCAUUUUGAAAUGA